ACUAAACAGCUAGCUCGACCACAAGGAUAGAGUUGACAACAUUAGCCGACCUAACACAGGAUAACCGCACUGACUAAACCAUUCUACCACCCCAGUACGGGCGACGGAAAGGACUAACGGAGCCAUAGACAAAGUACCGCAAGGGAAAACUGAAAGAGAGAUGAAACAGCGCACUAAAGUGAAUGAAAGCAGAGACCAAACCUCGUACCUUUUGCAUCAUGAUCUAGCCAGUAACAUCAGGCAAAGAGUUCUCUAGUUUGAACCCCCGAAACCGGACGAGCUACUCCGGGACAGCCUAACGUAGGGCCAACCCGUCUCUGUGGCAAAAGAGUGGGAAGAUCCCCGAGUAGAGGUGAAAGACCUACCGAGUCAGGUUAUAGCUGGUUGCCUGGGAAAUGGAUAGAAGUUCAGCUCCGCUAAGCACCCUCCCCCCACGACCCUACUCGAACAAGGUAAGAGGAUACCCACGGAAGUUAGUUGAGGGAGGUACAGCUCCCUUAACAGAGGACACAACCUUCACAGGAGGCUAAAGAAUACAUUAAAUCAAGGCCACAGGUUUCAGUGGGCCUAAAAGCAGCCACCUGGACAGAAAGCGUUAAAGCUCAAGCCAAAUUAAGCCCAUUAUUCUAUUAAUAUACCUCUGAUGCCCCUCAUAAGUACCAAGCCUCCCCAUGCCCUCAUGGGAGAGACCAUGCUAGAACAAGUAAUAAGAAGAAAGAACUUCUCCCCGCACACGUGUAAGUCGAACCGGACCAUCCAUCGACAAUUAACGAACCCAACAGCAGAGGCCCAUGCACCACCGCCACAUCAGGCCAAGAAAACCACGCAAGCCAGAUCGUUUACCCUACACAGGAGUGCAAGUAAGGAAAGACUUAAGGAAUGAAAAGGAACUCGGCAAACCCAGGCCCCGCCUGUUUACCAAAAACAUCGCCUCCUGCCCACAUCAGCCUAUAGGAGGUCCCGCCUGCCCUGUGACCAAAAGUUUAACGGCCGCGGUAUCCUAACCGUGCAAAGGUAGCGCAAUCAAUUGUCUUUUAAAUGGAGACCUGUAUGAAUGGCACAACGAGGGUCUAACUGUCUCUUUUUUCCAGUCAAUGAAACUGAUCUGCCCGUGCAGAAGCGGGCAUAAGUGCACAAGACGAGAAGACCCUAUGGAGCUUUAGACACCCACCAACCACCAGAAGCAGCCCUGCUGACAGGGCUCCAAACAAGGUGGCUCUGGCAUGAACGUCUUCGGUUGGGGCGACCGCGGAGGAAAAUAAAGCCUCCGAGAGGAACAGGGGAAACCCUAAACCAAGAGCUACAGCUCUAAGUAGCAAAACAUUUGACCGAAAUGAUCCGGCCCAUCGCCGAUCAACGAACCGAGUUACCCUAGGGAUAACAGCGCAAUCCUCUCUCAGAGUCCAUAUCGACGAGAGGGUUUACGACCUCGAUGUUGGAUCAGGACAUCCUGAUGGUGCAGCCGCUAUUAAGGGUUCGUUUGUUCAACGAUUAAAGUCCUACGUGAUCUGAGUUCAGACCGGAGCAAUCCAGGUCAGUUUCUAUCUGUGACGCCGCCCUUCCUAGUACGAAAGGACCGGGAUGGCGAGGCCCAUGCCCCCAGGCACGCCUCCCUCCAAUCCGAUGAAGACAACUAAAACGGAGGAAGGAGAGCUAACCCUUCUCUAGCCCCAGAUAAGGGCU
rnacentral:rRNA from 1 species